CAAACACACGCCGCGUGUAUAUGUGUGUGUGUGUGUGUAUAUAUAUAUAUAUAUAUAUACAUAUAUAUAUAUAUAUAUAUGUAUAUAUAUAUAUAUAUAUAUACACACACACAUACAUACACCUCUGUGUGUGUGUG